AACACAAAGAUGCAGGAGAGAACUGAAUAUAUAUAUAUAUUCUAGUAACCUCACAUCACCUGCCCUCCACUUUCAGUGACAGAUUGGAAACUAAAACCAUUGCCGAGUAAAAUCCACUUCCUCUUUACCCUUGAGGGCCUUAUCGCAUGAGGUAAGUAAAUUGCAAUUGUAUCUGGAUAAUAACUCCUUCAAUUGAAGCUUAUCACAUAAUGUCAUUGUUCUUGUGUUGUUCUCCCAUGAGAUGCCGUUUGGAGAACACAACAUUUUCCAUUCUUUUAUAAUAGCACAAACAUUUAUCAAUGACCUCAUUUCCUGCUUCUGUUGUGCUACGAUUUCCUGUGUGCAUAGUCAAUUACUCUUUUAUGUCAACUUUGAGAGGUCAAUGAGCACACUUUGGGUGUAGAAACAUGAGGGGAAAAGGAGAAAGGGUGAGUAUUUCAAUUUGAUUUCCUUUCAGUUGGCAAAUUUACUGCAAGAAACUUUAAUUUUGUAAAACUUUUUUCUCUAUAUAGAAAAGAAUCAAUUACUCUGCCCCACAAUGGGGCUUUUUAAGAAAAGCCAAACCUUGCUCACUGCCCCUCAGCUAUCUCAUCUCCUUUUCCAUCCUGUUCUGGAGUUUCAGUGCUAUAACACCACAAUGUCCAAAUGCCUUCAUUUAUUCUCAACCCCUUCCACCCCUCUUUCUGUCUCUCACCUGGAAAUGUAAGAGGAAAAGCCAAAAGAGUCUUACAAUUUUAAAAACCAUUUCUUUGAUCACCACCCCCCCCCUCUUUCUUGCUGUUGCCUCCUUCAGACUAAGUGAUGUCAUGGGAAUAGAUCAGACAUAUAGAUCAGUUGCUGCUGCAUUUCCUCUGCCAAUGAUUAGUUACAUCUGAAGAGACUGAUCUAUCUUGAUCAGGAAGCCACCCUUCCCUUAAAAAGCCCUUUAAAAGGCUGUUUCUGACCAAUGGCAAUCCUAAGAUGACGAUCCUUCAUGUGCCAUGCAUUGCUUGUGUUCUCCCAGACCAGUGGAUUGAUCACAAGUGUCAGAAGAACAAUCUGCUGUAAACAGCAACCUCAACACAACACAAUUUCAUGAAUGGAAGAUAUCCAGCAGCAGCUGUCAAGUUCCAGGAAGACUCCAUAACGCCCACUGCCAGAAAAAGGAUUAACUCUUAUCUGAUCUGCCUCCUAGCUCUCUUUGACUCUGCCACUUACAUCCGCAUUCUAGCCCUUUCCUGGGCAACAGCUUUUUCCAGCUUCUAUGAAGGACCCCACCAACAGCCCCUUCCUCCACACUCAUGCCCCAACGUAUCACCCCACACCAAACCAUCAAAAACCCCACUGGGCCCGGAAAUGGCACCUUUUCCUAUGGGCAGCCUCUGCCAUUGACUUGCAUUGAGGCUGUCCUCAGGUGAACUCUGUUAGGGUAUAAUGAAGCUCAAUACCAAGAAUGUAUGUCUUAAAGAAAACUAUACAGCUGAUCAUAACAUGCAGGAGCUAAUCUAGGUCAGCAUUUAAGCAAUUAAGUUUGGAUCACACCCAGUGGUUGUGUGUGUGUAUUAGCUUCUACUUUUGUUUUUAGUUUCGCUUUUGCUUUUGCUGAAGAAGCUGAAGAAGCCAUGUUCUUUGUAUCUUGCAAUGCUUUUCGCAUCUUGAAAUGCUUACAAGGACCAUGUAAGUUUACUAUACUGUAAGAUUUAUGUUUUGAUGCAACACUGCAAAUUUAUGUUUGGACUCUGCUGUAAAGAGUAAAGUUUAUUUCUUUUCCUUUUGGAACUGUGCAAAGUUACUGUGUCUUUGUUGGAUUAGACUGAAUUCCGCUUGAAGCACAACAAACUCGCCCUUGACCUAGUUCCCAGGCCUGCCAUUGAAGUGAAUAUUGAAACUUGUUUUAUUGUCUUCUACUGGGUGCUUCCUCCUUAUAUUUGGCCAGUGGGUCUGGGGGGGGGGGGGAGCUCACUCACAUCCUCCAUUAUCCACUCCUGAAUUCCGCUCCUCUUUCUAUCCUCCCCUAACCAAACUGUAUCCAACAGCCCUAUCCUUCUCUCAAGCCCAGGGUCCCACACAAUGUUUCUGCCCCCAUCCCUGCAGGCAUGGAGACCACAUAGGGUCUCCUUAUGCUCUGCAAAGCCCUUCUUUGACUUCUUUGGGGGUCUCAACAGGCUCCAGGAGCCCUUGUGUAUCCUCUAGUCUUUCCUGACUUUCUGUCCCUUUUCUAUCCCUUUUCUUCCCCAUAAUGGGAGGUAGGAGCCCCUUGGGGACCUUUAUGCGCCCCUCCUGUCCACGUCCAGCCACCCUUGGGUUCGGGUCUCCAGUACAGGAAAUCCCCCGCAAUCCUUGGGCUCCACGUAUAUGUGUAUAUGUUUUAAUCCUAUGCUUUAUAUCUCUAUAUAAAAUAUAUUUAUGAUGCCAGCCACUGAACGUGAUCUUUUCCUGCCCUGGGAAUGCCAGUCAACAAUCCUUCCUGGGCAUCAUUUGCAUUAAACAAAGAACACAAUCAUCUACAUCUGACUCAUAACUGGGCUGAAAGGAGGGCUACCAGAUCCAUUAAAGGGAUCGCCAGUUCUCUGAAUAAGCCAUAUGGACAUACAAAGCUACCUUCCUCUUGGCAGGACCAUUUCCUCGAAGGGUUAGUUAUGUCCCGCUUCCAAGAACAAUGCCAUUCCCCUUCGUUGUUUCCCCAGCCGUUGACUCAUCUAAAUCCUCUCUGGAUGGACAAUAUUUCUCUGCCAUGGACAAACCAGGAAACAACACUGGAGGCAUUGGAAAGCAAUCGCCUACAUAUCUUUAUCAAUAAAGGCUUUUCAGGGUCUUGUAAGGUCCUUUGUUAUCCCAGUCUGGGGCCCUCAUAAUCCAAUCAUAGGAUCAUUCUCAGCACCAUUGUUUCCUGAACUGCUGGCCCCUCUCCUUUCAUUAGGCAUCAAGAGCGAGAUGCACUCUCCCAUUGGCCGGCAAGGGCAGAGCUUCUGCCUUUUCCGGGAACCUCCUCUGAUGUCAACGGGGCUCAGCCAAUCAUGGCAGAGUCGGUACAGCUGGGCGGGAGCAGGAAAUUUGAAUGUGCUUUGUAUAAAAAUGCCUGUUUUUCAAUGUAAUGGAUCUCAGCUUAUCUUUCAUGGAUUACCAGUUUGCUGACAUCACUUUCAGUUGAUUGAAUAAACUGCCUUGGUGGCUUCAUCUUCA